rnacentral:rRNA from 1 species
AAACUCAAAGGAAUUGACGGGGGCCCGCACAAGCGGCGGAGCAUGUGGAUUAAUUCGAUGCAACGCGAAGAACCUUACCUGGGCUUGACAUAUACAGGAUUGGGCUAGAGAUAGUCUUUCCCUUGUGGUCUGUAUACAGGUGGUGCAUGGUUGUCGUCAGCUCGUGUCGUGAGAUGUUGGGUUAAGUCCCGUAACGAGCGCAACCCUUGUCUUAUGUUGCCAGCACAUUAUGGUGGGGACUCAUGAGAGACUGCCGGGGUCAACUCGGAGGAAG